AUGAGUUUUGUAGCAACAAAUAAACAUGAAAAGUUUUGAUCAUUUAACAAGAUUUUAAAUUGUUGUCAUAAGAAAACUGCUGUACGUUCCUACAAAUGCAAAGAUAUUUAUAUUUUCCUGUGUUCAUAGCAUUAGUAAUAGAAGGAAAACAGUUGGUGAGCGUCUUUUCUCAAAAUCAAAUCUACUGGUAUUGAGAAUAUAGCAUUUCUGUUAAGGACUUGUUUUAAUGCAUACAAGGGAAAACUUAUGGAAGUACCCUGAUUGAAAUGGGUUUCUAUCUUUCUUUAAUCUCUAUGGACUUCCUGUAUCAUGGUUCGGCUUCAGCUACAACAGCACUACUUCAUGCUGCAUUGUAAUGUUAGUGGUAAUGGCUGAAUGAGUUCAACUGUGAUAUAGAAAAAUAAUUGUAUAGGUUACAUAUACUUAUUGAUUCUGUUAUUUCUAUUCAUCUCUCAGUAAAUUGUUUUUAGUGUUAUUGGUUUUAAAAAAAUUUACUCUGUAUAUUCUACUUUUUCACAUGUCAAAAGCAAUUUAGUUGAGACUGUUUUUAUUUAAUCAAUUUGAAAAUAAAAUAAAUUUAUUUAUAACAAA